rnacentral:snoRNA from 1 species
AAUCUAUGGUACAGGCAUUUUUUGAAUCAACAUUUUGAAUCAUUCUCAUGCCUCAUAAAAACUUUCUUCUACCAUCUAUCUAAAGACAAAAAUCUCUCUUCUUAGUUG